rnacentral:misc_RNA from 1 species
GGUAUACGCCGUGUUAGUAUAGAAUUGUUUUGAAUUGUAAUUACUAAUGUCCGAUCGAACACAAUAAUUACCGAUGCUUUUCGAAAAUUAUACGAAUUGUCAUGUGACGUGUAUUAAUUAUUAAAUUUUAUUAAUAGUUAAAGACUUUCUGACGAUGGCUUUAGGAAACGGUAGUGCAACCGCUAAUGGUGGAGUAACUCAAGAAAAAGCUCCUGUAGUUAAUGGCACUAACAUGGAAACGCUUCCCAGAACCAGCAAGCAGACGGACCCUAACACUGCUUUUUUAAGAGCUGCAAGAGCUGGUCAGCUUGACAAAAUUCAAGAAUACCUUGACUCAGGAACAAUUAGAGAUAUAAAUACUUCAAAUGCGAAUGGCCUUAACGCACUUCACCUGGCAGCUAAGGAUGGUCACAUUGAAGUUGUACGAGAGCUUCUAAAACGAGAUGCUAUUAUCGACGCUGCAACGAAAAAAGGAAACACAGCUUUACACAUAGCUUCUCUUGCUGGCCAGGAGGAAGUUGUCCGAUUAUUAAUCCAGCAUGGUGCUUCAAUUAACGUUCAAUCACAAAAUGGCUUCACCCCAUUGUAUAUGGCAGCUCAGGAAAAUCACGAAAACGUUGUCAAAUAUUUACUUUCGAAAGGUGCAAACCAAGCUCUGGCUACCGAGGACGGAUUUACACCUUUAGCAGUUGCAAUGCAGCAGGGUCAUGACAAAGUUGUUGCUGUAUUGUUAGAAAACGAUACAAGAGGUAAGGUUAAGUUGCCAGCUCUUCAUAUCGCAGCCAAAAAGGAUGACGUGAAAGCAGCCUCUUUAUUAUUACAGAAUGACCAUAACCCUGAUAUAACAUCGAAAAGCGGAUUUACACCUUUGCACAUAGCUGCUCACUACGGAAAUGACAAAGUGGCUUCCCUUUUGUAUGACAAAGGCGCUGAUGUAAAUUUUUCAGCUAAACAUAAUAUUACUCCCCUUCAUGUGGCAAGUAAAUGGGGUAAGAUCAACAUGGUUUCUCUUCUUGUUGCAAAAGGCGCUAAUAUUCAAGCAAAAACACGGGAUGGUCUAACACCAUUGCAUUGUGCCGCUAGAUCAGGCCACGACCAAGUUGUGGAUAUGUUGCUGGAAAAUGGAGCACCAAUGCAUGCAAAAACUAAGAAUGGACUUGCUCCACUACAUAUGGCAGCCCAGGGAGAACAUGUUGAUGCUGCUAGAAUUCUUCUGUAUCAUGGAGCACCAGUUGAUGAAGUAACGGUAGAUUAUCUCACUGCGCUUCAUGUUGCUGCUCAUUGCGGACAUGUACGAGUUGCUAAAUUACUUUUAGACAGAGGAGCUGAUCCAAAUGCAAGGGCCUUGAACGGUUUUACUCCACUUCACAUCGCCUGUAAAAAAAACAGGAUUAAAAUGGUGGAACUUUUACUAAAACAUGGUGCAAAUAUUGGUGCUACAACCGAAAGUGGCCUCACUCCCUUACAUGUUGCUAGUUUUAUGGGUUGCAUGAACAUUGUAAUAUAUCUACUCCAACAUGACGCAAAUCCAGAUGUUCCCACAGUUCGAGGAGAAACCGCUCUACAUUUAGCUGCGAGGGCAAACCAGACAGAUAUAAUACGAAUACUACUAAGGAAUGGAGCAGCCGUUGAUGCAAAAGCUCGAGAAGAACAAACACCUUUGCACGUUGCAUCUCGAUUAGGAAAUGUUGACAUUGUUAUGCUUUUGCUACAACAUGGAGCAAAUCCUCAUGCAACAACAAAAGAUUUAUAUACUCCGCUACACAUUGCCGCUAAAGAGGGGCAAGAAGAGGUGGCAUCGAUAUUGUUGGACAAUGGAGCUGACUUAACUGCAACUACCAAGAAAGGUUUCACUCCUCUACAUUUAGCUGCAAAGUAUGGACAUUUAAAUAUUGCCCGAUUGCUUCUACAAAGAGAUGCUCCAGCAGAUGCCCAAGGCAAAAACGGAGUUACUCCACUUCAUGUUGCUGCCCACUACGAUCAUCAACCUGUAGCCUUACUGCUGCUUGAUAAAGGUGCCUCUCCUCAUGCUAUAGCUAAAAACGGACAUACUCCACUGCAUAUUGCUGCUAAAAAGAAUCAAAUGGAUAUCGCAACGACUCUGUUGGAAUACGGAGCAAAAGCUGAUGCUGAAUCAAAAGCCGGUUUUACGCCCCUUCAUUUAAGUGCUCAAGAAGGACAUGUCGAUAUGUCUUCCUUAUUAAUUGAACACCAAUCAAAUCCAAAUCAUGCUUCUAAGAAUGGGUUAACACCUCUACACUUAUGUGCUCAAGAAGACCACGUCCCUGUGGCCCAACUCUUGCUUAGAGCCGGUGCCAAUUCAGGUGCAGUCACAAAGUCUGGAUACACACCACUGCACGUGGCUUGUCAUCAUGGUCACGUCAACAUAAUUCGUCUUCUCCUUGAACAAGGAGCAGAUGUCAACCCCGUUACCCUAACUGGUUAUACACCUCUCCAUCAGGCUGCUCAGCAGGGACAUGUUCUCGUCAUACGUCUCCUGCUUAAAAAUAAGGCCAAUCCAAAUGCUUUAACUAAUAGUGGCCAGUCUGCCUUAGGUAUUGCAAGUAAAUUGGGAUAUAUCAGUGUUAUAGAGGAGUUAAAGGUUGUCACAGAAGUUGAUAUUACAACUACGACUACUACAAACAUAGAAGAAAAAUAUCGCGUAAUGGCACCAGAAGCAAUGCAAGAAGUUUUCAUGUCUGAUUCGGAAGAUGAAGGUGACGAUCCAGGUGAUCACCACAAUCAGUACAAAUAUAUGACUGCGGAUGAUAUGAAAUCAUUUGGUGGAGACGAUUCCAUGAAAUUAGAUGUUACUAGCGAUGAAAAAAGUGAUCACCGUAGUUCAAUGGCACCGUCAUAUGUAAGUGGGGAAGGUUAUAUUAAUGCCUCUCAUGCUCAUCAGAAUUACUCCAUUAAUUCGCACAUGGUUCCUGACAAUGUGGAUAUCAACAGACAUCCUAUUACUGUUGGUUUUCUGGUGUCAUUCCUUGUUGAUGCAAGAGGUGGGGCCAUGAGAGGCUGUCGACAUUCCGGAGUUAGAGUUAUUGUUCCUCCCAAAUGCGCAGCUAGUCCAAUACGGAUUACUUGUCGAUAUGUUCGACCUCAAAGAGUUGCCAAUCCUCCCCCCUUAAUGGAGGGAGAAGCCCUUGCCAGCAGAAUUCUAGAGCUUGGUCCGGUUGGUGCUAAAUUUUUGGGGCCAGUCAUACUUGAGAUACCACACUUUGCAUCUCUUCGAGGAAAGCAACGUGAAAUUAUCGUUCUAAGGUCAGAUACAGGCGAAACAUGGAAAGAACAUACUCUUGAAGCCAGUGAAGAAGCUAUUCAGGAUGUUUUAAAUCACAGUUUUGAUGGAGAAGAACUGAAUCAAAUUGAAGAUCUUCACACAAGUCGAAUAACACGCAUUUUAACAAAUGAUUUUCCACAUUACUUUGCUAUAGUCUCCAGGGUGAGGCAAGAAGUUCAUGCUAUUGGUCCCGAAGGUGGCACUGUUUCUAGUACUGCUGUUCCAUUAGUGCAAGCCGUCUUCCCUCCAAAUGCGUUAACGAAAAAAAUUAAAGUUGGGCUUCAGGCACAAGCAGUUGAACCAGAAGUAGUUGCAAAACUUCUAGGCCAUGGAGUUGCAGUAUCUCCAAUAGUUACUGUUGAACCAAGGCGAAGAAAAUUCCAUAAAGCUAUCACUUUAAGUAUGCCAGCUCCCAGAGCGCAUUCUCAAGGAAUGAUCAAUCAGUACUCAGGCUUAGCUCCAACAUUACGACUCCUGUGUUCCAUAACAGGAGGCCAGACUAAAGCAGUUUGGGAAGAUGUAACAGGAUCAACACCACUCACCUUUAUCAAGGAUUGUGUAUCGUUUACUACAACCGUUUCUGCUCGAUUCUGGCUGAUGGACUGUAGAAAUGUUUCAGAAUCUGCUCGAAUGGCAACAGAGCUUUAUAUUUUUUCAGCACAUGUACCGUUUAUGGCCAAAUUUGUCAUAUUUGCAAAACGGAUUAGUGUCUCUGAAGCCAGAAUUAGAGUUUUUUGUAUGACCGAUGAUAAGGAAGAAAAGACCUUGGAGCAUCAGGAACAUUUCACUGAAAUAGCGAAAAGUAGAGAUGUUGAAGUACUUGAAAAUAGAAACAUUUACAUGGAAUUUUCUGGAAAUCUAAUACCGAUAUUGCAAUCUGGUGAUCAACCCAUACUUGAUUUUGUGGCCUUCCGAGAAAACAGAUUAGCUUUUUCUGUUAGAAUUAAAGAUAUAGAUGAAGAACCAUCUGGGCUUAUUCUAUUUAUGACAGAUCCUAAAGUAGCACGUGGAGAUCCACCACAAACGCCAAUUUGCACUCUAAAUCUUAUUCUUCCUUCUCAAAUUUUGCCUGACCGAGAUUCUCAUUCAGAUUUACUGUCAUUAGAUAAUGAUCACAGCUAUUUACAACAUGGUGGAAUAAGUAAAGCUGAUGCAAUACAUAGAGCAGAUUUCCGACUUUCAGAUAUUUGUAACUUACUUAACGGUGACAUGGAAAAACUUGCAGCAGAACUUGGAAUACCCCCAUCAGAUAUCAAAAUAAUUAAGGAAGAAUAUACCAACAAUACUGCACAGCAAUCGAUGGUUAUGUUCCGACUAUGGUUAAGACAAAAAGGGAAUAGGGCUACUGGUAAUCAACUUGAACAAGCCCUGAACAAAAUUGGUCGGCAAGAUAUUGUAUCCAAAUGCAUAUGCAAUGUUGAAUUAGUAACCGAUGAUAUGGAACGAGCCUUGGCAAAGGUCAGAUUAGAUCAGUCCGGAUUUGAUUCUCUAAAAGACGAAUUGGGGUUAUCAUCCAGAGAAACGUCCUUACAACGAGGUGAUCACGUAACCAACUUUUAUAAAGACGAAGAACUUGAUAAAAAUCAAAAAAAUAAAGAAAAUCACAACGGCAAGUUCAUUAACGACGAUUUGGUCAAUACUAUCGAAAACUACCUUGUAUAUACUGAAGAAAAUGGCAAACUUGCUAGAGAAAACGAAUCGGAAAUUUAUAAAUCUCCGGAUGUUUCAAAUGAAAAGAAUAUUAAAACUAUCACCAACGAUCAAGAUAUAAAACAUAAAAAUUACGAUAUAAAAACUCCUCCUCCAAGUCCAGCUGAGUACAAGGUCAAUACCGCGAAUGUCGUUGAUGAAGACAAUGUCAAUCGAGAUGCUUUUGGACCGUCAAGCCGUAAGGAAACAGAGAAAUUCAUUCAAUUUGAAAAAUCUACAUCGUAUGUUUUUCCAAAUGAAGAUAAUGAGAGAAAUAAAAAUGUAGAAAUGUUACCAAAAGUUAUAGCAGAACAGAAACUUUCAGAAACAAAAACUAACAAUUUAGAAAAAACUGAUACUGUUGAACAACAAUACCCAGAUGAUAAAGAUUUAUCACCUGAGAAAAUUAAUUUAAAAGCAUGUGAAACUCCUAACUUGCAUAAAGUUGCACUGCAGAAGGCUUCCAUGGAUACUUCCUUUAAUGAACUGUCAAAAAAUGAGAUAGAGAAGAUUUCAAAACCAAUAAAAUCGGAAAUUGGUAGUGAUAGGUCAAAAGAUAUUUUGCAGUACGAUUUAGGACCCAUUGCACGAGUCAAAACUGAAGAGUUUUUAGAAGCUGAAAAAACCAAUACGUCAUCCUAUCACCAAUAUCCAAAAUUAAAUAAACUUGACCGUGAAUCGAUUGUGAAAGAAGAAUAUCAUUCACAGCUAGAAAAUUCUACAACUGACCAAGAAAAUUCAAAAUUAAAAACCGCAACUGAAUUGUUUUUGGACUCUGAAAAAACUUUAUCGAUGAACUCGUUUACGAAAUAUGAAAAUACAGAUCAAGAUUCAAAGAAAACAAUUAAUCAACUAUUAGAGGAUGGGAAAGCCAAAAAAAUGUUAGAUAGUGAAAAAGAGUCUCAUAAAGAAAAGAAAUCGAAAAAAGAUAAAAAACAGAAAUCUGAUGAAGAGCGAAUCGCAGAAUUGAAAGUAAAUGUAAGUAAUACCCUUACAUUUUUACAUCAAGAACGCAAUGAUUUUUUACCUGAUGAAGAUAUAAUUAUUCCCCAACGGAAAGAUGACCAUGUUGCAAAAGAAAUAAAUUUAGAUUACAUUAAAACAAAAAAGCAUCAUCACUACGAAAAUAUAACGUCUCCAGAACGAACUACACAUACUUAUGAAAAUAUGCCUGCAUUCCAACAUGUUUAUGAGGACGUUGAUUUUCAAACUCGAGAUACAACAACAGGUGAACCCUUAUAUGAAAAUAUAUGUGCCGUGGCAAAGGAUGAAGUUUCAGAUGUUAUUCAUCAGGCAGAAAAAGUGGUCAAUGAAGAAUGUAAUAUAUUUGAACCUCUACCUGAGGAAACUCCCAUUAUUGAGGAAUUAAUAGAAAACGAACAUCCAACUAGAAAAGAUGUCAACAAUACUUUCUGUAGUUUAGAACACUUUCGUGAUGAUCUUUUAAAAACAUCGCAACAAAAAAGCGAAGAAGCUUUUCAAUUUCUUGAAAACGAGUUAUCAAGUCCCUUAACCCCCACGGUAGAAUCGUUAGGAAAGUCAGUGACAUUCGCAGAAAACGUAGAAUACAAUUCCCCUAACCAACGUGAAUUAACAAGUGCUUUUAUUGAGUCCCAGUGUUCUAGUCCAUUUUCUAAAAAAGAAGAACCUGAUGCUCAUAAAAUUAAAAGUUCAAUACCAGUUCCUAAACCAAGGCAAAAGCCAGCACAGGAAAAAGAUAUUGAUUUAUUAUUUUCGGAAAACGAUCAAGCAUUAACAUCCAUGGAAAAUGAACUAUUAAGCAAAAUUCCUGUAGCUAAAGGUAAAGUUAAAACUAUAAAAAAACAUUCUAAAGAUCCUUUGAAAGAAUUCGUCAAGCUUAGUCAAGAUAUAAAUUGGGACGAAGAAAUUGACGGUAAAAUUACCAAGACGAUAAUUUCUGAUGAUAAUGGUACUAUUACUAAAACUACUAUAACAGUUGAUCCAAGUAUAAAAACGAAAAUCACAUCACCAGAAGUUACGUUAACGUCGAAAGGAGUUAUUUCUGACGAAUUAACCGAGCAUUCUGAGACAGCAAAAAGCAAAAUUCCAAAACUAAAAUCAGAAACAAAACCUACAAAAGCAACGGAGGAACCUAUAACUGUAUUAGAAUCAUCUAGUUUACCUGAAAACAUUGUAUCGCCUGGAUCUGAUUCAAAACAUUCUAACAAAAGUAGUACUUUAGAUUCUGACUCUGAUACAGACAGUAGAAAAAGUCCCCCGUUGAAAGGAAUAUUAAAAAAAAAUAAUAUACGUACCGUUGGCAGUUCAAGCGGUUCAGAUGUCGCACUUCAUGAAGACGGAGCAGAACUAAGCGAAGAUGAAUCAGUUUGAAAAAUAUUUUCCCAGACAAUAUAAUAAAACUUCUUGGAACUAUUGACAAUUACAAUGCAGCUGGCCUUUAGAAACACAUUUCGCAUAUACCAUCAUAUACAACAAAUAAUCUUCAUGCCUUCUCUUAUACAAAUCUGCUUGUUUUUAGUGAGGUUCUUCAAAAAGGAAAAGAAGACCUAUGCCAAAAUGACCAACCACAAUAUACUGAAAGUAUCACAGAAGAGAUUGACCCUCACACCGGAGCAAA